AAUCAACGCUGGCGGCGUGCCUCAGACAUGCAAGUCGAACGAGAAAGUCCCCUUCGGGGGAUGAGUAAAGUGGCGCACGGGUGAGUAGCACGUAGGUAAUCUACCUUCGGGUGGGGAAUAACCCAGGGAAACUUGGGCUAACACCGCAUAAUGCAGCGGCACCACAUGGUGACAGUUGUUAAAGCGGGGGAUUUUAGGACCUCGCGCCUGAAGAGGAGCCUGCGGCGGAUUAGCUUGNGGUAAGGUAACGGCUUACCAAGGCGACGAUCCGUAACCGGCCUGAGAGGGCGGUCGGUCACACUGACACUGACAUACGGGUCAGACUCCUACGGGAGGCAGCAGUCGGGAAUUUUGGGCAAUGGGCGAAAGCCUGACCCAGCAACGCCGCGUGAAGGAUGAAAUCCCUCGGGAU
rnacentral:rRNA from 1 species